GGAAGGAUAGAACAGUGACAGCGCGUGGUCUUUGCAAUCAGGAGACCUGGGUUCAAGUCCCAGUUCUGCCA
rnacentral:tRNA from 1 species